CAAAUAGAGUUUAGCAUUAGGGUGUUAGGCUAAAUUAUCAUGCAUGUUAAUAAUCAGAAUCAGAAUCAGAAUCAUCUUUAUUUGCCAAGUAUGUCCAAAACACACAAGGAAUUUGUCUCCGGUAGUUGGAGCCGCUCUAGUACAACAGACAGUCAAUUUACAGAACACUUUGGAGACAUAAAGACAUUGACAAAAAACAACAACAAACAACAAUUGUGCAAAAAGAUGCAGAGUCCUCAGUUCGAAUGGCUAAUGACGCAAUAGUCCGGUGCAAUGACCAUUGUGCAAAGGGCACUGAGACUUCAAGGAGUGUAUGCGGUUUAAAGUGACGAGUACUGCGAUAAUCUGGGACAAUGGUUGUGCAAAUGUUACAGAUACUCCUCAAUCAGUGUGCAAAUGAAGCAGAUACUACUCUGGCAUGAGUGGCCACUAUAUGCAAAUAGUGCAGCACGGCGAGACAACUACAGUGAGUGCACGAGUAAUACAUAAUACAGAAUACAGAAAUGUGACAACGAACUCAAGUCAAAAAAUUGCCAGCUUGUUGUAAUGGAAUUGUAAGUUAGCUGUUCAAGAAGUUGAUUGCAAGAGGGAAGAAGCUGUUGGAAUGUCUACUAGUUCUAGUUUGCAUUGAUCGGUAGCGCCUACCUGAGGGAAGGAGCUGGAAGAGCUGGUGACCGGGGUGGGGAGGGUCCGAGAGGAUUUUGCACGCCCUUGUCUUAGUUCUGGCAGCGUGCAAGUCCUCAAGGGUGGGUAGGGGGGUACCGACAAUCCUUUCAGCAGUUUUGAUUGUCCGUUGCAGUCGGAGUUUGUCCUUUUAAUAAAUGCUGUUUUCCAUCCGGGUAAGUCAUCUCCUUUUUAUAAUGCUAGUUAGCAUAGCCAAGUAAGUAAUUAGCAUUAAGAAUAAGGAAACCUUGUAUAUUACCAUGGUGUGAUGCAAUUUUGCUUCUGUAGAAUGGUCUGAAUUUCUUUCAUAUUUAAUCUCAGCGAGCUAAUCCACAUGUAAUCCUUUCUUUUUGCAGAUUGAAGCGUCUUUGUGAACGCCACUGCAUUUUUUAACAUGUCGUCUGAACGAGCAGAUGCCUUUUCCCCUUAACGCUUGAUAAUGAGCGACAUUGAGGUGUCUCGGCGUGUGCUGCAAAAAAAAACAAAAAAAAACAAGAACAAAAGCAUACAGAAGACAACCUCCUGUAGGGGUAAAGACAGUGCGGCACAGCGGGCGAUGAAGAUAAAGAAGGGGAGCGGUGGUGGAGAGUGGCAAUCCUGGCAGCCUUAUUGCGAAUAACUAGGCAGAUGGAUGAGGUGAGAAUGGAAAUAGAAACAGAAAAUUGAGAGAAGACAUUUUUUUUUUUUUUUUUUCUGCUUCCGCCUCCUCCGAGUGUGGAGUAAUCAGCGAGGCAGGCGGCAGAGUGUGAUCUCACACUGGGUUCGACAACUCGGCCCAUCUCGAGAUUACAUUAUCUCGCCCCAAAUUGCAAGAGAAGCCUCUCAAUCCAACAACCGAUGAAUCAAAGAUUGCUGCGCGAGUGUCGAGUGGAUGGAGCGCAGAGCGGCUGGAAAAGUGUCUGCGGUAAAUUAUUAAGAGCGUUCGGCGGGCCAUUUUCUUUAAACAAAUGUGAGCUCCUUUGGAAACAUUCGGGAAGAUUGAGCCUGCUCGCCAUCUUCAGGCAAGGAUGUGCUCCCCGGCUGACCCGGAGAUGAAGCCCUGGAGCUCGGGGAACGCGGGAUGUGGCGGCUUCAUCGCCGUCUCGGGAUGUUGCUCGCUUCAAAUGUGCGGAACUCCCAAGAGGAGAGGCAAUUCCAAAAAUAGUUGGAAAAAGCAACUUUCCAAACACGACUCCAUUUUUAUUAAACACAUCUGUUGUUUUGCAUGACCCUUUGUUCAACUACAAACAGUACCAAGUGUAGGAAAAUGUGGUCAUAUUACAAGAAUAAAGUAUUUUUUUCCAGA